UCAGGGCAUGGGGGAGAAGGGCUACAUGAGGGACCCACAGCAAUGUUGAGUGAAUGCCAAGGAGCCUCAGCAGGCGUACCGGAAGGCAAGGGAGGCUAAAAGUCACUCUGGUGCAGAGCCACAGAUAUGCUGCUUUUACAAAGAGCUGCAUGCUAUUCUCAGCAGAGACCCCACCUCCACCCCCAAGAGCCCUGUGGAUACUUUGGAAGAACUGGAGUCACAGGCCCCUGGAGUGAACAGUGAGGAGGAGGUACUGGGAGAGGAAAAGGAGGAGGAGGAGCAUGGGGGACAAGUGACCAGGGGAUUCAGUGGCACAGUGAGCCAAGACCUGUUUUUGACUCCAGACAGUUGAACCAGUCGCUACAGUCCAGCAUGGGUGAGCCUGAUGCAGGAGAAGGAACCUCUGCUGGAGAUGUGGCCUUGAGGGUGUCUCUAUCCACACCCGUGGAGCAGCUCAGCCAGACAGGGAGGAGAAGGUAGAGGACAUGGGCUGGCAUGUUCCAAGAGAUCCUGCAAGUCUCUGGUGCUUUGUAUACUGAGCACAGGGCCUGUAGGAUCACACUCGCAGAAAGAAUGGACAGGGAUAGAGUGGAGAAGAGAAAAGCACAGGAAAAGGAGAGAGAUGUGCAGCAAGAGAUGCUAGUGCUUCUCAAGCAGCAAACAGACAUUCUGUUGACCUUCACGUUCAACAGACCUGCAUUUGCCUUCCUUUGCAGCCUAUAGAGAACUGCAUUCUUGGACCUCCCUACACACCCACAUUCCACGUGAUAUCCAUGGCUGCUGCACUACCCCUACCACUCCACCCCAGGGAGAGUACAGAUGAUCAUAGCCACCUGUACUGAACCUGUGAGAGACAUGGUUGGUGUAUAUGUUUGUGAAAUAAAUAUAAUUGUUCUUUCCCGUGUAUUUAUAAAGUUUCAUUCAGUUACAAAUAUGUCUGUUUGCAUGGGUUCGGAAUAAAAGUCUGUUUAUGGAAACUUAA